AGCAAGAUGGCCGAAUAUUAGGUGAUAGGUUGUAAACCUUUUUAUGAGUUUUCUCUUGCU
rnacentral:tRNA from 1 species